rnacentral:rRNA from 1 species
UACAGAGGUCUCAAGCGUUGUUCGGAUUCAUUGGGCGUAAAGGGUGCGUAGGUGGCGCUGUAAGUCAGGUGUGAAAUUUCGGAGCUUAACUCCGAAACUGCAUUCGAUACUGCCCUGCUAGAGUACUGGAGAGGAGAUUGGAAUUUACGGUGUAGCAGUGAAAUGCGUAGAUAUCGUAAGGAAGACCAGUGGCGAAGGCGGGUCUCUGGGCCGUAACUGACGCUGAGGAGCGAAAGCGUGGGGAGCGAACAGG